rnacentral:rRNA from 1 species
GGCCCUACGGGGUGCAGCAGGCGCGAAAACUUUACAAUGCUGGCAACAGCGAUAAGGGAACCUCGAGUGCCAGGUUACAAAUCUGGCUGUCGAGAUGCCUAAAAAGCAUUUCAUAGCAAGGGCCGGGCAAGACCGGUGCCAGCCGCCGCGGUAACACCGGCGGCUCGAGUGGUAACCGUUAUUAUUGGGUCUAAAGGGUCUGUAGCCGGCCGGAUAAGUCUCUUGAGAAAUCUGGCAGCUUAACUGUCAGGCUUUCAGGAGAUACUGUCUGGCUCGAGGCCGGGAGAGGUGAGAGGUACUUCAGGGGUAGGGGUGAAAUCUUGUAAUCCUUGAAGGACCACCAGUGGCGAAGGCGUCUCACCAGAACGGACCUGACGGCAAGGGACGAAAGCUAGGGGCACGAACCGGAUUAGAUACCCGGGUAGUCCUAGCCGUAAACGAUACUCGCUAGGUGUCGGCCACGGUGCGACCGUUGUCGGUGCCGUAGGGAAGCCGUGAAGCGAGCCACCUGGGAAGUACGGCCGCAAGGCUGAAACUUAAAGGAAUUGGCGGGGGAGCACCACAACGGGUGGAGCUUGCGGUUUAAUUGG